rnacentral:tRNA from 1 species
GUGGCUAUAGCUCAGUCGGUAGAGCCCCGGAUUGUGAUUCCGGUUGUCGUGGGUUCGAGCCCCAUUAGCCACCCCA